ACUCCUACGGGAGGCAGCAGUGGGGAAUAUUGCACAAUGGGCGCAAGCCUGAUGCAGCCAUGCCGCGUGUAUGAAGAAGGCCUUCGGGUUGUAAAGUACUUUCAGCAGUGAGGAAGGUGGGUAUGUUAAUAGCAUAUUCAUUUGACGUUAGCUGCAGAAGAAGCACCGGCUAACUCCGUGCCAGCAGCCGCGGUAAUACGGAGGGUGCGAGCGUUAAUCGGAAUUACUGGGCUAAAGCGCAUGCAGGUGGUUUGUUAAGUCAGAUGUGAAAGCCCGGGGCUCAACCUCGGAAUUGCAUUUGAAACUGGCAAACUAGAGUACUGUAGAGGGGGGUAGAAUUUCAGGUGUAGCGGUGAAAUGCGUAGAGAUCUGAAGGAAUACCGGUGGCGAAGGCGGACCCCCUGGACAGAUACUGACACUCAGAUGCGAAAGCGUGGGGAGCAAACAGGAUUAGAUACCCUGGUAAGGCUCUA
rnacentral:rRNA from 1 species